CAUACCGCGUUUGUUCCCAGCACCAGGAGCGAGUGCUUUGACACCCAGCCAGGCCCUCUCCAGCCAGGGCAGGAGCAGGCCCCAUCGCUCAGCCUGAAUGGCCUUCGCUCUCUAUGGCUCAGUAAUAAUCAGAGGUCACACUGAAAAGCCAUCUUCUCCUUCUCUGGCAGAACCACAGCACUUGAGGAAGAGGAGCUAAAAAGUCUCUGAAGGGUGUUGAAGCUCCAAGCUUGGCUGAAGCAGAGACUCUCUUGUCACCAGACUGUUUCCUUGUUUCCAGAGGAAACCAGCAAGCUCAGGCUGGGACUGACAGGAAUGCCGUGCUGCUUACCUUUUCAUGUCUGAAACCCAGGAAUGUAUCAGGGGAGCAGCUCCUCUUGGCAGGGACUCCAGUCACAAGGCCCUGCUAGACACAGUCUACUUUUGCAGAGUCAGUCUCCCUGCCUGCAACCAGGCACUGGGUUCAGCUGCCCAGCAGAGCGUCAGCCACAGAGGGCAAGCAGGACACGCAUGGGAAGAGCAGUGCCACAACAGAAUGUGCAAG